rnacentral:misc_RNA from 1 species
AAGCCAGCGGAGGCAAGCCAGUA